UAUUGUCAAGCAGCGAACUCACAUCACCAAACUUGGAAAACAGCUCCUCCCCAUCCCCACCGGACCCCCAUGUUGCCUUUGGACGACCGCCAGACGCCUUUGGAUUGUUGUUCGACUCCUUUCUCGUGUCACUCGACAGGCGCUCACUGUGACCUUUUCCGGCGAUGAAUAUACGACGCCGAAAGAUCAACUAAGGAGGGAGCCGAGCGGAAAAAAUCACCCAAUCAGGCGAGGCAAUAUUUCAGCUCAUCAUUAAUGCUCUACUCCUAUCUUGAAGGCUCCAAGCUGUGCUCCAGCUUCCAGGCUGUCAGUGGUUUGUGUCUCCUCACCAUCUCUAUCUCAAACGACAUGACACACUCAGUAAAAGUGAGGGGGAGACAACCUCAAAUAUUUGGCAAAGGGAAAGCCUUAAGUUAUGCAAAGCAGGGGGGUGGGGGGGGUCUAUUGUGUUGCAUCUGGAUCCAUUAGUCAGCUGUUGGAAAGGUCCCACGUCGACGUGUGUGUAAAAGAAAAGCAUGCACAAUUCAAAACAAUGAGGUGCAAAGCUAUUUGGCAACGACGGCAACGCUGUCUGUUGACUCACACGAAUCACGAGGCUUGAAUCACAAAACGGACAAAAAACAAAACC